AGCCUGGGAAGAAAUGAAAGUGAAAAUCCAGUGGUGUUUUAAAGAAAGGAGAAGUCAGUCGGGUGCCUUUUUCUGUGGGAUCCAAGUGGCUUCUGCAUCUCCUGUGCAGGGCUCUGCAAAAGGAGCUGAAUGAACCGGGAGCUGGAAAGGCUGCUCAGGCAGGGAAAGGAAGAGGCACCAAGGCUUCCUCGGCUCCAGACCACUUUUGAGGGAGAUAACUGAGGGAGGAGCCUGGUGAGGCUGCCAUGGGAUCCUGGAGGAUGUAGGAGAGCAUCCAAUGCUGCUGGUGAUGAACACCCAGGGCAGGCCGAUGGGUUUAGCCCACUUCAUGCAGCUGUGUUUCCUGCUUCUAACCAUUGCAUCUUCCUGUCCAAGUAUUGCCAUGGCCAGUGAUGACCCUGCAAAGGGGACACAAGACUCUUCCUUUGGCAAAACAAAUGUGACGGUCUAUCACUGUGAGAGCAAUGUAUGCGAAUCAAGCAAUGACAAAGACUGUGCAAAAAUCGGUGAAACACAAAAUAAGACAUUUUCAAAUGAAAUAAUUCAGUUGGUGACCAGUGACACGCAGAUCACCAUGUGCUUUCAUCGAGGAAAUACGAUUCCUGAAGGAGUUUAUGCAGUCUUCUGGGAGAAAGACAUGGGAGCGGGACACUCAUGUGGCAUCCUGAGUUACAAAGGUAUGCUCUGCUGGGAACCUGGCUAUACACUA